UACGGUAGGGUGCGAGCGUUGCCCGGAUUUAUUGGGCGUAAAGGGCGCGCAGGCGGCUACGCACGUCCGUUGUGAAAUCGCUCGGCUCAACUGGGCGGGGUCAGCGGAUACGGCGUAGCUGGAGCAAGCUAGGGGCAAUGGAAUUCCCGGUGUAGCGGUGGAAUGCGUAGAGAUCCGGAAGAACACCGGUGGCGAAGGCGGCCUGCUGGGCAGUAGCUGACACUGAGGCGCGACAGCGUGGGGAGCAAACAGG
rnacentral:rRNA from 1 species